AUUGAACGCUGGCGGCAGGCCUAACACAUGCAAGUCGAACGGUAACAGGAAGCAGCUUGCUGCUUUGCUGACGAGUGGCGGACGGGUGAGUAAUGUCUGGGAAACUGCCNGAUGGAGGGGGAUAACUACUGGAAACGGUAGCUAAUACCGCAUAACGUCGCAAGACCAAAGAGGGGGACCUUAGGGCCUCUUGCCAUCGGAUGUGCCCAGAUGGGAUUAGCUAGUAGGUGGGGUAACGGCUCACCUAGGCGACGAUCCCUAGCUGGUCUGAGAGGAUGACCAGCCACACUGGAACUGAGACACGGUCCAGACUCCUACGGGAGGCAGCAGUGGGGAAUAUUGCACAAUGGGCGCAAGCCUGAUGCAGCCAUGCCGCGUGUAUGAAGAAGGCCUUCGGGUUGUAAAGUACUUUCAGCGGGGAGGAAGGGAGUAAAGUUAAUACCUUUGCUCAUUGACGUUACCCGCAGAAGAAGCACCGGCUAACUCCGUGCCAGCAGCCGCGGUAAUACGGAGGGUGCAAGCGUUAAUCGGAAUUACUGGGCGUAAAGCGCACGCAGGCGGUUUGUUAAGUCAGAUGUGAAAUCCCCGGGCUCAACCUGGGAACUGCAUCUGAUACUGGCAAGCUUGAGUCUCGUAGAGGGGGGNAGAAUUCCAGGUGUAGCGGUGAAAUGCGUAGAGAUCUGGAGGAAUACCGGUGGCGAAGGCGGCCCCCUGGACGAAGACUGACGCUCAGGUGCGAAAGCGUGGGGAGCAAACAGGAUUAGAUACCCUGGUAGUCCACGCCGUAAACGAUGUCGACUUGGAGGUUGUGCCCUUGAGGCGUGGCUUCCGGAGCUAACGCGUUAAGUCGACCGCCUGGGGAGUACGGCCGCAAGGUUAAAACUCAAAUGAAUUGACGGGGGCCCGCACAAGCGGUGGAGCAUGUGGUUUAAUUCGAUGCAACGCGAAGAACCUUACCUGGUCUUGACAUCCACGGAAGUUUUCAGAGAUGAGAAUGUGCCUUCGGGAACCGUGAGACAGGUGCUGCAUGGCUGUCGUCAGCUCGUGUUGUGAAAUGUUGGGUUAAGUCCCGCAACGAGCGCAACCCUUAUCCUUUGUUGCCAGCGGUCCGGCCGGGAACUCAAAGGAGACUGCCAGUGAUAAACUGGAGGAAGGUGGGGAUGACG
rnacentral:rRNA from 1 species